rnacentral:rRNA from 1 species
AUUGAACGCUAGCGGGAUGCCUUACACAUGCAAGUCGAACGGAGUGGCGAACGGGUGAGUAAUGUAUCGGAACGUGCCCAGUAGCGGGGGAUACCUACGCGAAAGCGUAGCUAAUACCGCAUACUAUUGGAGCGGCCGAUAUCGGAUUAGCUAGGUGGUGGGGUAACGGCGCAGCAAGGCGACGAUCCGUAGCUGGUUUGAGAGGACGACCAGCCACACUGUGAUUGAGACACGGCCCAGACUCCUACGGGAGGCAGCAGUGGGGAAUUUUGGACAAUGGCGGAAGCCCUGAUCCAGCCAUCCCGCGUUUGCGAGGAAGGCCUUAGGGUUGUAAAGCACUUUUGGCAGGAAAGCGGUACCUGCAGAAUAAGCACCGGCUAACUACGUGCCAGCCGCCGCGGUAAUUC